AGACCCGAAACCCGGUGAUCUAGCCAUGGGCAGGUUGAAGGUUGGGUAACACUAACUGGAGGACCGAACCGACUAAUGUUGAAAAAUUAGCGGAUGACCUGUGGCUGGGGGUGAAAGGCCAAUCAAACCGGGAGAUAGCUGGUUCUCCCCGAAAGCUAUUUAGGUAGCGCCUCGUGAAUUCAUCUCCGGGGGUAGAGCACUGUUUCGGCUAGGGGGCCAUCCCGGCUUACCAACCCGAUGCAAACUGCGAAUACCGGAGAAUGUUAUCACGGGAGACACACGGCGGGUGCUAACGUCCGUCGUGAAGAGGGAAACAACCCAGACCGCCAGCUAAGGUCCCAAAGUCAUGGUUAAGUGGGAAACGAUGUGGGAAGGCCCAGACAGCCAGGAUGUUGGCUUAGAAGCAGCCAUCAUUUAAAGAAAGCGUAAUAGCUCACUGGUCGAGUCGGCCUGCGCGGAAGAUGUAACGGGGCUAAACCAUGCACCGAAGCUGCGGCAGCGACACUCAGGUGUUGUUGGGUAGGGGAGCGUUCUGUAAGCCUGUGAAGGUGUGUCGUGAGGCAUGCUGGAGGUAUCAGAAGUGCGAAUG
rnacentral:rRNA from 1 species